rnacentral:rRNA from 1 species
UGGGGAAUAUUGCACAAUGGGCGAAAGCCUGAUGCAGUGACGCCGCGUGAGGGAUGAAGGCCUUCGGGUUGUAAACCUCUUUCGGCAGGGACGAAGCGAUCAGUGACGGUACCUGCAGAAGAAGCCCCGGCUAACUACGUGCCAGCAGCCGCGGUAAGACGUAGGGGGCGAGCGUUGUCCGGAUUCAUUGGGCGUAAAGCGCGCGUAGGCGGCUGCGCAAGUCGGGUGUGAAACCCCGGGGCUCAACCCCGGAACUGCAUCCGAUACUGCGUGGCUAGAGGUAGGUAGGGGAGAUCGGAAUUCCUGGUGUAGCGGUGAAAUGCGCAGAUAUCAGGAGGAACACCGGUGGCGAAGGCGGAUCUCUGGGCCUUACCUGACGCUCAGGCGCGAAAGCUAGGGGAGCGAACAG